rnacentral:rRNA from 1 species
CCUACGGGAGGCAGCAGUGGGGAAUAUUGCACAAUGGGGGAAACCCUGAUGCAGCGACGCCGCGUGAGUGAAGAAGUAAUUCGUUAUGUAAAGCUCUAUCAGCAGGGAAGAAAAUGACGGUACCUGAGUAAGAAGCCCCGGCUAACUACGUGCCAGCAGCCGCGGUAAUACGUAGGGGGCAAGCGUUAUCCGGAUUUACGGGGUGGAAAGGGAGCGUAGACGGCAGUGCAAGUCUGGAGGGAAAGGCGGGGGCUCAACCCCCGGACUGCUCUGGAAACUGUACGGCUGGAGUGCAGGAGAGGUAAGUGGAAUUCCUAGUGUAGCGGUGAAAUGCGUAGAUAUUAGGAGGAACACCAGUGGCGAAGGCGGCUUACUGGACUGUAACUGACGUUGAGGCUCGAAAGCGUGGGGAGCAAACAGGAUUAGAUACCCCAGUAGUC